AGUCUUAUAAUCAAAAAUUUAUGAUAUUAAAUUGCAAAUUUAAAGGUGGGCUCCCCUAAGGCUU
rnacentral:tRNA from 1 species